rnacentral:lncRNA from 1 species
GGUGUUGAUCGCUAGUUCCGCUCUUGGCGCCACCGCUCUCCCUGCGCCGAACGAUCAAGGGAUCCUCGGAGGUUCCCAUAGGUGUCAUUUUCCCGACAACGACGACGACAACAAUAACAACAACAACGAAAAAGCGAUUGCAAUAACAACAACAACAAACACGAUGACGACGACGACUACAACAACAACAACGAUAACAGCGACAACAACAACAACAAGAAGAAGAACAAGAAGAAGAAGAAGAAGAAGAAGAAGAAGAACAACAACAACAACAAAAACAACAACAACAACAACAACAACGAGGACGACGACGACGAC